rnacentral:rRNA from 1 species
CGCCUCUUGCUAACUACACAUAAGAGGUCCUGCCUGCCCUGUGACCCUAAGUUCAACGGCCGCGGUAUUUUGACCGUGCAAAGGUAGCGUAAUCACUUGUCUCUUAAAUGAGGACCUGUAUGAAUGGCAUAACGAGGGCUUAACUGUCUCCUUUCCCCGGUCAGUGAAAUUGAUCUUCCCGUGCAGAAGCGGGAAUCUUAACAUAAGACGAGAAGACCCUAUGGAGCUUUAGACUCUAGAACAGAUCAUGUAAGCUACUUCCAUAAAAUAAGUAAUAACUAUUGAAUUUCUGUUCCCCUGUCUUCGGUUGGGGCGACCACGGGGAAUAAAAAAACCCCCACGUGGACCAGGAGCACAUUACUCCUACAACCAUGAGCCACAGCUCUAAUGCACAAAACAUUUGACCAUUAGAUCCGGCAAAGCCGAUCAACGAACCAAGUUACCCUAGGGAUAACAGCGCAAUCCCCUUUAAGAGUCCAUAUCGACAAGGGGGUUUACGACCUCGAUGUUGGAUCAAGACAUCCUAAUGGUGCAGCCGCUAUUAAGGGUUCGUUUGUUCAACGAUUAAAGUCUU